GAGGUUAUAGCUGAGUGGUGUAGUACUUGCCUAGCAUGCAUGAGUCCCUGGGUUCAAUCCCUGGAACCACA
rnacentral:tRNA from 1 species